GGGUUAAUAGCUCAGCUGGACAGAGCAAUACUCUUCUAAAGUAUCGGUCGUUGGUUCGAAUCCAACUUAACCCG
rnacentral:tRNA from 1 species